UAUGAAAUACAGAAUCAAAAUUAGUUUACAGAAUCAAAAGUAGUUAGGGAGUAGGUAUUUCCUGAAGCAAACCGUGUAAUAGAGACAAUCCCAAACAUUACUGUUAUUUGUGCAUAGUAGAGAGUCAAACAGUGCCUUUGAUUUCCAAAAAGAAAAAAACAGUAGCCUGAAAUCUGUGUUUUAGCUGUAGGUAGUAAAACAGUGUUGUAGCUUCUUAGGAUGAUAGGUGACUUGGAGGAGAAAAUAGUAAGUAUGCAGUGAAAUGAAAUAUGGCACCAUUUGGCUGUAUCUGUUGACAGGAGAGUAUUGUAGAACUGAGCACUCUCAGUUCUCCCACUGAAAUCUUGUUAGAAGUUUGGACUUGCAGGAAAGCAUGAUAAGCUCUAAGCAAAGCAAUAUGAGCAAUACUGCUCGUAACGCAGCCCUUUUGUGGCUAGCCACAGCAGCCCAUGAUCUGUGCAAAAAUAACUCAUGGUUCAAAAACACCUCUACCCACCCAGAGUGUAGAAGCUUAAUUGGUAGAAAUCCCUGCUGUACCUAUCACUCUCCUAUCUCUAAUCUUACUGGGCACAGUUCUAAAAGCAUAGAGACAAAAUGAGAAGUUAUUUAAUUUCUCUUCUGUGCUUCAGAACUUCCUGAGUGUGCGUAGGACCAUAAAAUAAAUAGUAAUUCAUCUUUUAAUUAGCUUGUUCCUCAUUUUUGCAGCUACUUUCUUUGACAAGUGCAUCAUCAAUUUGCCUUGAUUUUCCAACUGAGGACAACGACACAACUCUAUCAAAGUGAGGAUCUUUUGCGUUCAUGAAGAAGCUGCUUUAGUGUUCCUGGCAUUGUCUAGACUGCAUGAACCUCUGAGGCUGCCUUUACUACCUGCUAUCUGUGGCAUGGAAUCUGCAGAGAUGGCUAGAUCAUAAAUGAAGAAAACAAUUGGUAAGAAAAAGGAUUGAGUCAGGAAUGUAUUAGGGCAAAUGUGUAGUUUUAUAUACAUGACAAGUAUCAGCUGGUGAUUACCUGCAUCUUUCAAGUCAGCCACUUGCUGAAAUUCCAUAGUGGAUUGCACCAUUGCACCAACGUAGAGGAAAUUCUUUGUCUGCCUUUUCUUCAGCUAACAUCAUAUUUGUUUCGGAGCUCUUGUGAGGAGAAUGACUAAUGUCAAUUAAAGGAAAGUGCUGCAGUUACAAUUCAGAAGUCUUGAUCCAGCAACAAUCUGAAAGCUCCUGAAGUAAGGCUCUGCAAUAACUCCCUAAUUACGAUGGAGGGGUUGCCCUUCUGAGCACUCUCCAGCCCGUGUAGGACCAGAUUCCAGAACCUGGCCAACUAUUCCGUUGGGAAAGGCAUGCAAAGUAUUAGGAAAUGUCCUCCAAGCAGCUAGGGUGUCAAAGUUCCUGUUGCUCUGUGUGGGCUUGGGAAAUCUCCUACAGCUGCGGAAUGGACAUAAAGAGGUAGGAUCCUAUGUUGUCUCCCUGUCAGACAGUCCAAGGAGGCUGGGAGCAGCAAAAUCCAGCCUGGUGUUUCACACUGCUUACACAGCUCCAGGUAAUACAAGAAUUUUCCAGUCCCUUGGAAGAAUUUACUUUGCUGCCAGCCUUUAAGACUUUUGCAUGUACUGGAUGCAACUUUAUCAGCUGAAUCUGUGUUCAAUCAUAUAUACUCUUUCUAUGGAGCAGUGCUCUACUUGCUAUGUUGAGGUGACUGCUGGGAAUGCCAUGGAAGCUUAGCUAUAUUUGUGCUUUCCUGUUUGCUCUUCAGAAUUAUUGUCGCAAAAAUAACACAGCAUAUGGUAGCUGGUAGGAGUUGGUUGGUUGUUUAGUCAGGAGGUUUUCUGGAGGACAUGAGCUGGAUAUUCUAAUUUCAGCAUUUGUACAGAGCUGCUCUGACCAGAAUGAGGGGUUCCUUAUGUAGAAGCCACAUCUUUUUAAACUUAUUUUCCAGGCAACGUGAUCAUUCUUCAAGGAUGAAAAUAAGUCGGUUCUUCACUCAGGGGUUGAAUUUUAUUAUUAUUGAUAAGUUAUUGGAUCAUUUUGAGGUUGAUAAUUAGAUAUUUGUAUUAAAAUAAAGAAUGAUCUAUGAGUUUAUUUUAUUUAAAGGUCAGAUCCAACCUAUUAAUUUAAAUUCAGCUACAAGCUGAUUGUUUAAGGAACUUCAUUUUUACAAUCUUCAGAACUGUAAUGUACUCAGCUAUGCUCCUCAGAGAUAGAUUUCCAAAAUCUUUACUGACUUGUAUAUCUUUGAUUUAGAAAUCUAGCAACUUACUUGGUUUAGGAGUUGAUUUACCAAAAUGAUCCUAAACAUUAUUAUCCUUUUUUUUUUCCUAUCCAUUAUUAUGCAGCACUGCCUUCCAGUGGAAGGACUUAUCCAUAUUUUCUUUAAAGAAUGCUGAAUCAGAAUACUGAAUCCUCUGGUUGUUACACCCUUUUCUCGUUUGACUUGCCUAAUUAACUUGCAACCUCUUCAGG